ACGGCUCAGUAACACGUAGUCAACCUAACCUAUGGACGGGAAUAACCUCGGGAAACUGAGAAUAAUGCCCGAUAGAACACUAUAUCUGGAAUGGUUUGUGUUCCAAAUGAUUUAUCGCCGUAGGAUGGGACUGCGGCCUAUCAGUUUGUUGGUGAGGUAAUGGCCCACCAAGACUAUUACAGGUACGGGCUCUGAGAGGAGUAGCCCGGAGAUGGGUACUGAGACACGGACCCAGGCCCUAUGGGGCGCAGCAGGCGAGAAAACUUUGCAAUGUGCGAAAGCACGACAAGGUUAAUCCGAGUGGUUUGUGCUAAACGAACCUUUUGUCGGUCCUAGAAACACCGAUGAAUAAGGGGUGGGCAAGUUCUGGUGUCAGCCGCCGCGGUAAAACCAGCACCUCAAGUGGUCAGGAUGAUUAUUGGGCCUAAAGCAUCCGUAGCCGGCGCUGUAAGUUUUCGGUUAAAUCUGUACGCUCAACGUACAGGCUGCCGGGAAUACUGCAGCGCUAGGGAGUGGGAGAGGUAGACGGUACUCGGUAGGAAGGGGUAAAAUCCUUUGAUCUAUUGAUGACCACCUGUGGCGAAGGCGGUCUACCAGAACACGUCCGACGGUGAGGGAUGAAAGCUGGGGGAGCAAACCGGAUUAGAUACCCGGGUAGUCCCAGCUGUAAACUAUGCAAACUCAGUGAUGCAUUGGCUUGUGGCCAAUGCAGUGCUGCAGGGAAGCCGUUAAGUUUGCCGCCUGGGAAGUACGUACGCAAGUAUGAAACUUAAAGGAAUUGGCGGGGGAG
rnacentral:rRNA from 1 species